UGAGCCCAAAGUUUUUCCUCGGCCCACAAACCCUUCACUCCGUGUGGCCCAACUCAAGGAAACCGGCGCUGACACCCAGGGCCCGCAGGUCAACCUUAUCUCGCUUGCGCGCGCGCCUGGCAUCGCUGACGGAUGGGCCCCACAAGCCAGUUGAUUGACCACGUAAUACCGCUGAGACUGCCUUCGCUAACAUGAUGGGCCUACUUCUCAGUCAUCGUCUCUACGUCGCUGUCCGGUGGGUCCAGGGGGUUAGCUCCGCCCUCAACGGAUUGCCGAGCAUGGCGGGCACGUCACCAGCGCAAAUCUCGCGCCCACCUUGCGAAUGAUCGAGCGGGGUUAAAUACCGGGUCCUUGGGGCCACCUCACGCACCUUCCUUGAACCUCUCGCCUCCACAAUCCGUCGCCAUCCACCAUCUCAGCAAUAGUGCGGCGCAAAGAUCCCACCAUCACUCGGAAUCGACAUUC
rnacentral:lncRNA from 7 species